rnacentral:misc_RNA from 1 species
AUGCUAAUCAUAACAGCAAACGAUCCCAUGCUUGCUGCAAAACUAGUUGAGAAUUUGUGAUUUAAAAGAGAUUGCCAAAAAAGCAAAGAUAGAUCAUCGCGAAAAUGGAUAUAAGGUGCUUUAAUUCGUAAGUUCACAAAUCAAAAUGCCACGCAGAGGAAGAGGAAGAAAUUUUGGAAGAGGUCACUGGAGAGGACGGGGAAGAGGUAGAGGAAGAGGAGGUUCUUCUUCAGAUGCAGGUCCUAAUGAAGAGGAGACCUCAGAAUCAAUUGGGACCUCAGAAUCAGUUGGAACCUCAGAAGACCUGGACAAAUCCCUUGAAUGCUCAUCUGAUCAGACAGAGGAGGUCAAGGACAACACAGAGGAGGAAAAAGAGGGAGUCGAAGAGGAGCCAGGGGACACAGAGGGGGUGUUCCUUAAAGAGGGGGACGUAGGAAUCACUGAAUACAUUAGUUCCUCGCCUGGUUUCAGUGCUAUCAUCAAGCAAAGGUAUUCAGACUUCAUAGUGAAUGAGAUAGAUGAGGAAGGGAGGCUAGUGAGACUGACAAGCUUAGAGGUGGACAGGUCGCAGAUGCCGGCUGAUGAAGAGGAUGAUGACACAGGGUUGGAUGGAGUGCUCUCCCCUGAACAGAAGGAGAAGCUGGAUGACUUUAAUGCUAAUCCUAACCCCAAACGCGUCAUUGACAUAUGUGCCCCGGUUGAUAAAGUCACCCGAGGAAAAGUACACCAGAUUGUGAGGGUGCGUUACAAGAAGUUGGAAUCUGAUACUCUUGUAGAGGAUGAUGUGAGAUUUAUCCGGAUCUCAGUUAAAGGGGCAGGCGGCCAUUGGGGUUCAGGUCAGCAUUUCAGACAGCAGAACUUUCAACGUAAGCCCUGGCCGGCCGGCUUUGGAAACUACUGCCGCUUCGUUCUGUACAAAGAAAAUAUGGACACUAUGGAGGCAGUGCAUAAACUCACCAAGUUCUUCCAUAUUAACAAGAACAUGUUCCAGUUUGCGGGGACCAAGGACAAGAGGGCCAUAACUUCUCAAGAGGUCACUGUCUACAGGAGAUUUGAAAGAUGUAGCUUUCAAAGAGGAAAAUCGACAAAGUUCAGCAAACGGAUCACUUAAAGGGGGCAGUACAAGUUCGAGGGUCUCCCCUGAGGUAGUGACAGCAGAAACCCUUUCUCAAUACACCAUUCACGAUGUCAUCCUUCCACUCCCAGGGUUUGAUGUCCAGUACCCAGAUAAUGAAGUUGGUUUAUGGUAUGCAAAGUUGAUGGCUGAAGAUGGGCUCAAAUUGGAAGAUCUAAAACAUUCCAACAAAAACUAUGCUUUGCCAGGUACUUAUAGGAGGUUAAUAAUACUACCCAAGGAUUUAAUGUGGCAAUCCUACAUGUACUCAGAUGUUACUAAGGAGUUGACCCAAAGUGAUCUUGACCUUCUGCAGAAAAAACCAGAACCAGUCUCCGAUCCAGAUGGUACCAUAAAAGCAUUGAAAAUAGAAUUAUCUCUGCCACAGUCCUGCUAUGCUACGAUGGCGUUACGUGAAAUUCUAAAAAUAGACACGUCUGCCGCCUAUCAGGCGACACUGAACCAUGGCGUCAUGCCCGAUCGCUCACCCACAGCUAUGGUUGUCAAGGAGAUGCAGACUAAACAGUCUGCUCUAGGCCAGUGAUCGUUGUGUACAUAAUCAUGUAUGGAAAUAUUGACAUAGGGCACCUGUUGUAGUGUUUCUUAAUGGUGGAGUUGCCAGAUAGAGAAUUACAUACCUGAACAUCUACUCCCUUCAAAUGUUGUAGUGAUGUUCAAUGGUGGAAUUGCAGCAACAGAAGUAUUUGCUUAAAUAUUAAGUCAAGAAGUGCAAUAGCUGUUUUAUCUUAGUAACUGACAUUAUUAGUUUUAAAUAUUUUACAGAGCAUAUUGCAAAAAACAUCUGACUCCUGAAUAGAUCAUCAUGUUUAGAAUAGAGUCUUACAAAAUGAUCUGAUUAUGUUUUACCUGAAGUGUUAGCAGCAAGUACAAGUUAUUGAUGUGCAUGAAACACAAAUUAACAGAAAUAUUUUUUUGUUUCUAAUUUGUUGUAUUCAUGUUAAUACAUUCAUGAAUGGUCAGAAAAAUGUCCAUGUUCUUGAAUUUGUUUUAGUGAUAUUUUGUUUUCUUCAUUUAAAUGCUGUUUAAAGAGAAUUCAUUUGUUUCCCAAUUAUAUACGUACAUGAACUAC